rnacentral:rRNA from 1 species
UGGGGGAUAUUGCACAAUGGGGGAAACCCUGAUGCAGCGACGCCGCGUGGAGGAAGAAGGUUUUCGGAUUGUAAACUCCUGUCGUUAGGGACGAUAAUGACGGUACCUAACAAGAAAGCACCGGCUAACUACGUGCCAGCAGCCGCGGUAAAACGUAGGGUGCAAGCGUUGUCCGGAAUUACUGGGUGUAAAGGGAGCGCAGGCGGACCGGCAAGUUGGAAGUGAAAUCCAUGGGCUCAACCCGUGAAUUGCUUUCAAAACUGCUGGCCUUGAGUAGUGCAGAGGUAGGUGGAAUUCCCGGUGUAGCGGUGGAAUGCGUAGAUAUCGGGAGGAACACCAGUGGCGAAGGCGACCUACUGGGCACCAACUGACGCUGAGGCUCGAAAGCAUGGGUAGCAAACAGG